UCAAGCUGAAUCUUGAUGUGGUUGCAAUUGCAUGGGAUGGCGUCUAUGCAAACUAGUUUGGCAUCAGCUAUAUGCAACAACAGGAACCACUCGACUUCCCCAAAAUUUCUGAGCAGCUCUUUCUUGCAUGGGGUUGAUGUGAUCGGACAGGCUGCCGGCUUUCGAAGAAAGGACAUAAUUCCCACUGCCUUUUCAGGCCCGAAAGCUACAUUGACCUUUGAUCCGCCCACUAACAACAAAGAGAGGGUUAACCAACGGAAGCACACGGCCGAUCCUAAUGCUCCUGAUUUUCUUCCACUUCCGUCCUUCGAGGAAUGUUUCCCUAAAAGCUCCAAAGAAUACACGGAAGUCAUUCAUGAGCAUUCUGGCCAUUUGCUGAGAAUUCCAUUUCGACGAAUUCACCUAUCGGGAGAAGAACCCCAUUUUGACACCUAUGACACCAGCGGUCCACAGAACAUCAGCCCACGCAUUGGACUCCCCAAGUUGCGGAAGGAGUGGAUUGCCAGAAGAGAGAAAUUGGGUGGACCAAGGUACACCCAAAUGUUCUAUGCUAAGCAGGGAAUCAUAACUGAGGAGAUGGCAUUCUGUGCAGCUCGUGAAAAUCUCGACCCAGAAUUUGUAAGAUCUGAGGUUGCUCGUGGUCGUGCAAUCAUCCCGUCAAACAAGAAGCACCCAGAAUUGGAGCCAAUGAUAGUUGGACGCAAUUUCUUGGUGAAAGUAAAUGCUAAUAUUGGGAACUCUGCUGUUGUAAGCUCCAUCGAGGAAGAAGUCCACAAACUCCAAUGGGCAACAAUGUGGGGUGCUGAUACCAUUAUGGAUCUUUCCACCGGACGUCACAUCCAUGAGACUCGUGAGUGGAUCCUGCGUAACUCUGCUGUACCAGUAGGAACUGUGCCCAUCUAUCAAGCACUGGAAAAAGUGAAUGGCAUUGCUGAGAAUCUCACUUGGGAAAUAUUCAGGGACACACUGAUCGAACAAGCUGAACAGGGUGUCGAUUACUUUACAAUCCAUGCCGGUGUCCUACUCCGUUACAUCCCACUAACAGCCAAGCGGAUGACUGGCAUUGUUUCUCGUGGUGGAUCCAUUCACGCAAAAUGGUGCUUGGCUCAUCACAAAGAGAACUUUGCCUACGAACACUGGGAUGAUAUCCUAGACAUUUGUAAUCAGUAUGAUAUAUCCUUGUCAAUUGGUGAUGGAUUGAGGCCCGGAUCCAUAUAUGAUGCCAAUGACACGGCCCAGUUUGCUGAGCUCUUAACUCAAGGAGAAUUGACUCGUCGGGCUUGGGAAAAAGACGUACAGGUAAUGAAUGAAGGGCCAGGACAUAUUCCCAUGCAUAAGAUCCCUGAGAAUAUGCAGAAACAGCUAGAAUGGUGUAAUGAAGCACCUUUCUACACUCUCGGACCUUUAACAACCGACAUUGCUCCUGGAUAUGAUCACAUUACCUCAGCCAUUGGCGCUGCGAAUAUUGGGGCUCUCGGCACGGCACUUCUGUGUUAUGUGACUCCUAAAGAACAUCUCGGUUUGCCGAAUCGAGAUGACGUGAAGGCUGGGGUUAUAGCAUAUAAGAUAGCCGCACAUGCUGCUGAUUUAGCAAAAUGCCAUCCGCUUGCACAAGCUUGGGAUGAUGCACUGAGCAAGGCAAGAUUUGAGUUCAGAUGGAUGGAUCAAUUCGCUUUAUCAUUGGACCCCAUGACAGCCAUGUCCUUUCACGAUGAAACCUUGCCAUCUGAUGGUGCUAAAGUGGCACAUUUCUGCUCUAUGUGUGGGCCCAAGUUCUGUUCUAUGAAAAUAACUGAGGAUGUAAGAAAAUAUGCUGAGGAGCAUGGUUAUGGGACUGCCGAGGAAGCAGUCCAGCGCGGUAUGGAUGCCAUGAGUGCAGAAUUCCUAGCUGCAAAGAAAACUAUCAGCGGGGAGCAACAUGGUGAGAUUGGAGGAGAAAUCUACCUGCCGGAAGAGUACGUAAAAUCCAUCAAGACCUAAAGGCCUUUCCUCCUGGCAAACCGUAAUAAACUCUGAGAUGCAGAUCGGAAUGUCUGAGCUAUAAAGCAUGGUCGAAAAAUGUGGUUUUAGAAACCUCAUCUUCAAAAGCAGUAGCCAGGACAACGAGCAGGUCGGGCUGAGAAAGUCCCUUUGAACCUGAACAGGAUAAUGCCUGCGUAGGGAGCGUGCAUUUUUCUUUUCUGUGCUUACACAGGGCAGGAGAUUCAUCCCCCGUUUCAGGAUUUUCUGCUUCGUGCGUCGGCAACUUUCUUGGAAAAUUGUUGCUGUCUGGCUGGGAAGUAGAUGAACUAACAAUACUAUUUGAAAUCCAUUUUCAUCUCAUAAGUUGCUCAGUUUAGUUCAUAAUCGGCCACUCAUGGUUUUACUACA